UAAAAGGUACUCCGGGGAUAACAGGCUGAUACCGCCCAAGAGUUCAUAUCGACGGCGGUGUUUGGCACCUCGAUGUCGGCUCAUCACAUCCUGGGGCUGAAGUAGGUCCCAAGGGUAUGGCUGUUCGCCAUUUAAAGUGGUACGCGAGCUGGGUUUAGAACGUCGUGAGACAGUUCGGUCCCUAUCUGCCGUGGGCGCUGGAGAAUUGAGGGGGGCUGCUCCUAGUACGAGAGGACCGGAGUGGACGCAUCACUGGUGUUCGGGUUGUCAUGCCAAUGGCACUGCCCGGUAGCUAAAUGCGGAAGAGAUAAGUGCUGAAAGCAUCUAAGCACGAAACUUGCCCCGAGAUGAGUUCUCCCUGACUCCUUGAGAGUCCUGAAGGAACGUUGAAGACGACGACGUUGAUAGGCCGGGUGUGUAAGCGCAGCGAUGCGUUGAGCUAACCGGUACUAAUGAACCGUGAGGCUUAACCUUACAACGCCGAAG
rnacentral:rRNA from 1 species